rnacentral:tRNA from 1 species
GCUGGGAUGGCGAAAUUGGUAGACGCGCUAGCCUUAGGAGCUAGUGGGGCAACCCAUGGAGGUUCGAGUCCUCUUCCCAGCACAA